rnacentral:rRNA from 1 species
UACGAAGGGGGCUAGCGUUGCUCGGAAUCACUGGGCGUAAAGAGCUCGUAGGCGGUCUGUUGCGUCGGCUGUGAAAACCCGGGGCUCAACUCCGGGCCUGCAGCCGAUACGGGCAGACUAGAGUUCGGCAGGGGAGACUGGAAUUCCUGGUGUAGCGGUGAAAUGCGCAGAUAUCAGGAGGAACACCAAUUGCGAAGGCAGCUCGCUGGGACGUUACUGACGCUGAGACGCGAAAGCGUGGGGAGCAAACAGG